rnacentral:rRNA from 1 species
ACCUAAUAGAUACCCCGGUAGUCCACGCCCUAAACGAUGCGAACUGGAUGUUGGGUACAUUACGGUACUCAGUGUCGAAAGCUAAACGCGUUAAGUUCGCCGCCUGGGGAGUACGGUCGCAAGACUGAAACUCAAAGGAAUUGACGGGGGCCCGCACAAGCGGUGGAGUAUGUGGUUUAAUUCGAUGCAACGCGAAGAACCUUACCUGGCCUUGACAUCUGUCGAAUCCUGCAGAGAUGCGGGAGUGCCGCAAGGAACGACAAGACAGGUGCUGCAUGGCUGUCGUCAGCUCGUGUCGUGAGAUGUUGGGUUAA